rnacentral:tRNA from 1 species
GCAUGGUGGUUCAGUGGUGGGAUUCUCACCUUCCAUGUGGGAGACCCGGCUUCAACUCCCGGCCAAUGCA